rnacentral:rRNA from 1 species
UGCAGUCGAACGAUGAAGCUGGAGCUUGCUCCAGUGGAUUAGUGGCGAACGGGUGAGUAACACGUGAGCAAUCUGCCCUUGACUCUGGGAUAACUGCGGGAAACUGUAGCUAAUACCGGAUACGACACCUUGGGGCAUCCCGGGGUGUGGAAAGAAUUUCGGUCAAGGAUGAGCUCGCGGCCUAUCAGCUAGUUGGUGAGGUAAAGGCUCACCAAGGCGACGACGGGUAGCCGGCCUGAGAGGGUGACCGGCCACACUGGAACUGAGACACGGUCCAGACUCCUACGGGAGGCAGCAGUGGGGAAUAUUGCACAAUGGGCGAAAGCCUGAUGCAGCAACGCCGCGUGAGGGGUGAAGGCCUUCGGGUUGUAAACCUCUUUUAGCAGGGAAGAAGCGAAAGUGACGGUACCUGCAGAAAAAGCACCGGCUAACUACGUGCCAGCAGCCGCGGUAAUACGUAGGGUGCAAGCGUUGUCCGGAAUUAUUGGGCGUAAAGAGCUCGUAGGCGGUUUGUCGCGUCUGCUGUGAAAAUCCAAGGCUCAACCUUGGACCUGCAGUGGGUACGGGCAGACUAGAGUGCGGUAGGGGAGAUGGGAAUUCCUGGUGUAGCGGUGGAAUGCGCAGAUAUCAGGAGGAACACCAAUGGCGAAGGCACAUCUCUGGGCCGUAACUGACGCUGAGGAGCGAAAGCGUGGGGAGCGAACAGGAUUAGAUACCCUGGUAGUCCACGCCGUAAACGGUGGGUGCUAGUUGUGGGCCACAUUCCACGUGGUCCGUGACGAAGUUAACACAUUAAGCACCCCGCCUGGGGAGUACGGUCGCAAGACUAAAACUCAAAGGAAUUGACGGGGGCCCGCACAAGCGGUGGAGCAUGUGGUUUAAUUCGAUGCAACGCGAAGAACCUUACCUACUCUUGACAUCCAGAGAAUCCUGCGGAGACGCGGGAGUGCCUUCGGGAGCUCUGAGACAGGUGCUGCAUGGCUGUCGUCAGCUCGUGUUGUGAAAUGUUGGGGUUAAGUCCCGCAACGAGCGCAACCCUUUAUCCUUUGUUUGCCAGCACGUAAUGGUUGGG